GGAACUUGAAGCACAACAAGGGCAAACAACUUCUCUAAAGUCACACAUCGCCAGUCAGGAGGCUGCCCGGAACUGGAGACUAGCCUGCUUUCUGAGAAGGAAAUCAAGAAAACAGAAACACCACCACACACUUUGGUGGAUGAGCGCGGCCACCUCAAUCAGUAACCUUCCUUCAGCUACGUUCUGUCACGAGGCGGCCCAAGGGCAGCAAGUCAGGACAAGCCCCAGAAAAAGGAAGCAUCCUGUGCAUUUUAUUUAAGUGAACUGACAGAAGAUGCAAUCUCUCAACCAUCUAUGGAAAGACGUAGCUCAUAGAGUCACAGCAUCUUUGAGCUAGAAGAUAACUCCUGUUCUACAUAUGAGGCUAGUUCCUUUCUGCAUCGGAUGAGAUGAAAAACGAGAAGAGGCAGCAGAGAUUUGAGAAACAAGGAGAAGGCCCCAUUAGAUGAGGGAUAGCGGCCAAUGAAACAUGUACAGUGAUGUCCUCAGCACUUUACAGAAGACAGAAAAGCAACCACAGUAAAACGAUUGCAAAAUUGAGACCUAAGAGUGUCUCUCACCCACAGCCCAGAGUUAGUGGAAACACGAAGCAGAGGACACUAAAGCCAUUCCUGCAGCUUAGAAAACUGGUCCUGAGCUUUGUGAUUCAGAGAGGCUUCAACUGAGAGAAGAGGGGAACUGACCAAUGGUCCUCAGAUAUCAGUGGGCAGGAAAGGAAGAACAUACAAUGUGAUAUUGAGGUCUGAACUGGAUGGAUCUUAGACCCUGAACCUCUCUAAGCCAGUGCUCCCCAAGGCCUGGAAGAAUUCCUAGAGGCAGAAGGAAAAACAGUGAUGAGAUGAGGAAGAACAUUAAUUUAUCAGCUUAUUACAAUUGGCAAACUGUGGAAAGAGUCAAGAUGCCCUUCAACAGAUGAAUGGAUAAAGAAGAUGUGGUCCAUAUAUACAAUGGAAUAUUACUCAGCCAUCAGAAAGGAUGAAUACUCAACUUUUGCAUCAGCAUGGAUGGGACUGGAGGACAUUAUGUGAAGACCCAUUCCUAUACAAUUACUUCUGGAUCAGCACUGUUGGGUGUUGGCACUAAAGAGUUAUUAAGGAGGAGGAGUGCCUGGCUGGCUCAGUCCAUAGAGCACAAAACUCUUGAUCUUGAGGAAUUUCAAGUACUGUCUAAACAACCACAAGAGUCUCCACUAAACACUAAAAAUCAUUUGGAAUUUUUUGAGAAUGUAAUGGGUUCAAAAAGAUACAUGGAGGAAGCAGCUGAAAAGCAGAAACAGAUUGGAGCCACACUGCCUGAAUCCUUUCAGCUCACUUUUUCGACUCCCUGAGAAGCCGUCUCAGAAAAGAGUCUUCUGACCUAUGAAGCCUCUCGUUUUUCCCACUGAAGGCCUUCUUCUAGAGCAGCAGUUCCUCCAGUGUGGUUCAGGGACCCAGGGGUCCCUAAUGUGGGAGGUUGGUGAGAUAAAGAACCACUUCUGUGGGGCGCCUGAGUGGCUCAGUGGGUUAAAGCCUCUGCCUUCGGCUUGGGUCAUGAUCCUGGGGUCGUGGGAUCGAGCCCCGCAUCAGCCUCUCCACUCAGUGGGGAGCCUGCUUCCCCCUCUCUCUCUGCCUGCCUCUCUGCCUACUUGUGAUCU